UGGGGAAUCUUGCACAAUGGGGGAAACCCUGAUGCAGCGACGCCGCGUGAGCGAUGAAGGUUUUCGAAUCGUAAAGCUCUGUCCUAUGGGAAGAUAAUGACGGUACCAUGGGAGGAAGCCCCGGCUAACUACGUGCCAGCAGCCGCGGUAAUACGUAGGGGGCGAGCGUUGUCCGGAAUUACUGGGCGUAAAGGGUUCGCAGGCGGCAUGGCAAGUCCGAUGUAAAAGGCGAAGGCUCAACCUUCGUAAGCAUCGGAAACUAUCAAGCUUGAGUGAAGGAGAGGCAAGUGGAAUUCCUAGUGUAGCGGUGGAAUGCGUAGAUAUUAGGAGGAAUACCGGUGGCGAAGGCGACUUGCUGGACUUCAACUGACGCUGAGGAACGAAAGCGUGGGUAGCAAACAGG
rnacentral:rRNA from 1 species